UACGAAGGGGGCUAGCGUUGCUCGGACUUACUGGGCGUAAAGCGCACGUAGUCGGUUUCUUAAGUCGGGGGUGAAAUCCUGGAGCUCAACUCCAGAACUGCCUUCGAUACUGGGAAACUUGAGUCCGGGAGAGGUGAGUGGAACUGCGAGUGUAGAGGUGAAAUUCGUAGAUAUUCGCAAGAACACCAGUGGCGAAGGCGGCUCACUGGCCCGGUACUGACGCUGAGGUGCGAAAGCGUGGGGAGCAAACAGG
rnacentral:rRNA from 1 species